ACGUGUUUAAAGGAGUCAGAUGGCAGUGACACUGAAGACUUUGGCUCUGAUCACAGUGAGGACUGCCUUUCAGAAGCAAGCUGGGAACCUGUUGAUAAGAAGGAGACGGAGGUAUGUGUGUGAGCAGAUGUGUAGUGGGUACUUCAUGCAAGCCAGUGGGUUAUCUUUCUCAGAGAGGAAUGACGUACUGUGGCCUGAACUCUCCCCCAAGAUAAAUACCAUCAUUGUAGGCAAGUAGUGACCAGCCAUAAAAACCAUCCUGGUCAUUCUCCCUUGGGCUACUUUCUGGAUCGCAGUGUUGUUGUCCUCUUUGGACAUGGACCUAUACUUUUCCUUUGUGCCUUCUGGUAGGUGACUCGCUGGGUUCCAGACCAUAUGGCAUCACACUGCUAUAACUGUGACUGUGAAUUCUGGUUGGCCAAACGAAGGCAUCAUUGCAGGUAAGAUGGGUUUUUUGUUUUGUUGCACCUCCUCAUUCUUACUCAUAAUGUAGGGUUUUUGUAUAGAACUAAAUUAAUUUGAAAAUGGAAAUAUCUUAGUAUUUUUGUUUACAUCCAAUAAUUUUAUUUAUGAAUACCCUUUUAGACUAUUAUUCAUUCUCAAAACAUGGAUAUUUCUGACAAGCUCCUCCCUCUUUGUACUUUGGCAGAAAUUGUGGGAACGUAUUUUGUGCUGGAUGCUGCCACCUUAAGCUGCCCAUUCCCGAUCAGCAACUCUAUGACCCAGUUCUCGUCUGUAACUCAUGUUACGAGCACAUUCAAGUGUCUCGUGCCAGGGAGCUCAUGAGCCAACAUCUGAAGAAACCCAUUGCUACAGCUUCCAGUUGAAUGCCAGAGGAGAUGAUCUGUCCAUUUUUAGCAGGUUUGAAGGGAGGAUCUGCUUCAGGUGUAGUCUGGAAGGUUCCUUGGUAUGGCUCAUGAACACAGAGCUCAAAGAUACCGUCUUGAGAAAUCCUCCUUGGUACCAUGUGACCGGAGCAGAGGAAUUUGAAUUUGGCAGGAGAUUUUUCUACCACAGAGACCCUCACUUUGGGGUAAUGGUCCUGAUCCAGACCCAGAGUCUGGAAGCUUCACACUGAGUUGGUGACUCCAGCUUCUCUCUCCUGGAGGUCCCGAGAUGAUGAUUCAGAAAUUCUGCCUGGUGCACAGUGCUCAAACAGCAAUAGGAAGGCAAACUGGUAACCAGACUCCCAAGUCACAGUGGGACCCAUCUCUGCCUGCAAAGAGCAGAUCAUAGUAGACGAGAUAGGAAUUCCCAUCCUAUUUGAGUUGAACUCUCUUCUGUACCUCUGUGCUCUGUGUCUGUGCAUGAAGGCUCAGUCUUUAGAGGCACUCCCUCUAGUUGAUUAGCACUAUCUUCUG
rnacentral:lncRNA from 1 species